rnacentral:rRNA from 1 species
CGUAGGGUGCGAGCGUUAAUCGGAAUUACUGGGCGUAAAGCGUGCGCAGGCGGUUAUAUAAGACAGAUGUGAAAUCCCCGGGCUCAACCUGGGAACUGCAUUUGUGACUGUAUAGCUAGAGUACGGCAGAGGGGGAUGGAAUUCCGCGUGUAGCAGUGAAAUGCGUAGAUAUGCGAAGGAACACCGAUGGCGAAGGCAAUCCCCUGGGCCUGUACUGACGCUCAUGCACGAAAGCGUGGGGAGCAAACAGGAUUAGAUACCCUGGUAGUCCACGCCCUAAACGAUGUCAACUGGUUGUUGGGUCUUCACUGACUCAGUAACGAAGCUAACGCGUGAAGUUGACCGCCUGGGGAGUACGGCCGCAAGGUUG